AUUAGUCAAGAGUGUCCUUGUAGCAGGGAGAAUUCAUUUGUAUUUUUUUUUUUUUAUUAAAAAAAAUAUAACAAAAUUCUUUUUCCUCUCCCUUUCUUCUUCUUUCUCGCCCGUCACCCUUUUCUCCCUUCUCCCUCACUCCCUUCCAUUUCUGACCACAAUCCCACUGCCACCAGCCACCCGACUUCCCUCCUCCUUCCUAUUCUCGAUGGCGCGUCCUUUUCCCCUUUCUCUCGCUGUUCCCUCGUCGCAGCAAGGAGGAGAAGCCGCCUCCUACAUUGCCAUCACCGGUUUGACCUCCUGCCGCCGCCCUUUCGCCUAUCCGACACCAGGAACGAGCUCCCCACCAUCGACAACCCUAAGGCAGCCCCUCCUAGUCGUUUUUCUCCGCCGGUAGCCUUCGUAUAGCCUUACCGGAGCCGAUUUUCCUCCUCCAUGAUCUAGCUUUUUUGGCAACAGUUAGGCUGUGAUUUUGGUGUUUUUGAACUCCCUGCAACUCAACCUUUGCGUAGCCAUCUCUCGAUUCGAAAUCCAACACUGUAGGCGGUACCGGCUUUCAGAUACCGGUGUUUUCCGAACGUGCGAAAGUUCGGAUUUUGACUCGAUAUAAUAUUAUGUAGACUUUGAAAAUUAUUUUAAAAUUGUUAGAAAAUAUUCUAUGUAUUAAUUGUUAGAUAUAAUUAAAUAAUUAAAUUAAUUAAUUAAUUAGUCGCCUGAUUUUAAAUUUACUGGAGAAGUUAAUAUUCUAUUAUGUAAAAUUAGGCUGUGAUUAAUUGAAUUAAAUGUGAGGAAUAUUGUGUGGUUGUAUCGGAAAUAAUAUUAUUAUUUUUGCCGCUAUUUUUUUGAAUUGUGAUUUGGCUUAUGUGGCUGAAUCGGAAAAAUAAUACAGUUUUAGUGGUCCGACUCCUGUUAAAUAAAUGUGGAAUAUUUGAAGUACGUUAUACGGGAAGUAAACGUCUAUAUUUUGGGAAAGGUUUUGCCCGAGUCGGAAUUUUUUAGGUAGUCUAAUCUAGAAGUCUGGGCCUAGAAAAAAUUAAGAAUAUCUAAUUGAGUUAUUUUCAUAAAUAAUUAAUCUGUCCAUCCAGCCAGCUCCACCCAAGACGUAGGAGCAGACUGCAAAGCGCAGCAAAACUGUGACAGUUAGGUUCUCCGCCGACUUCUUUUUGCAGCCCGACUCUCCCUUCGCCUUCGGACUUAUUGUGACAGUUAGGUUCUCCGCUGACUUCUUUUUGCAGCCCAACUUGCCCUUCCCUUUCGGGCUUAUUGUAAUUAAACCUUAACUUUUGUAUUUUAAAUUAUUUAGAAUUCUAUACUCCCCGC